AAAUUGUGUAAGUUCACUGCCCCGUUCUCGACAUACCUCCGGUUAAAUAUUGUCCCGCGAUACUCUUUACUGGUCCCCGCGGGGGGCCGGUACGUUUACUUUGAAAAAAUUAGAGUGCUCAAAGCAGGCGAUGGCCAGAAUAAUGGUGCAUGGAAUAAUGGAAUAGGACCUCGGUUCUAUCUUGUUGGUUCUUCGGAACACGAGGUAAUGAUUAAUAGGGACGGACGGGGGCAUUCGUAUUGCGACGUUAGAGGUGAAAUUCUUGGAUCGUCGCAAGACGAACUACUGCGAAAGCAUUUGCCAAGAAUGUUUUCGUUAAUCAAGAACGAAAGUUAGAGGUUCGAAGGCGAUCAGAUACCGCCCUAGUUCUAACCAUAAACGAUGCCAACCAGCGAUCCGUCGGCGUUACUUCGAAUGACCCGACGAGCAGCUUCCGGGAAACCAAAGUUUCUGGGUUGGCGGGGGAAGUAUGGUUGCAAAGCCGAAACUUAAAGGAAUUGACGGA
rnacentral:rRNA from 1 species